GCCAGUCAUGGAGGCACAUGCCUGUACUCUCAGCUAUUCUGGAGGCUGAGGCCAAAGUAUUACCUCAGCCCAGGAGUUUCAGGCUGCAGUAAGGUAUACUCACAUGGUGCCCACACUAAAUUCAGCAUCAAUGUAGUGACCUCCUAGAAACCAGCGAUUACCAGAUUGUGUAAGGAGGGGUGAACAGAGCAGGUUGGAAACAGAGGAGACCAUAACUCCCACAUUGAUCAGUAGUGGGAUUGUGCCUCUGAACGGCCACUGCACUCCAGCCUGGCAACAUAGUGAAAAACCAUCUCU
rnacentral:SRP_RNA from 1 species